rnacentral:tRNA from 1 species
GCCCCCGCAAUAGNGGUGUAGGGGUUAACAUGCCUGCCUGUCACGCAGGAGAUCGCGGGUUCAAAUCCCGUCGGGACCGCCA